rnacentral:rRNA from 1 species
AAGGUGACUGCCGGCUAAAAGUCGGAGGAAGGUGGGGAGUGACGUCAAAUCAUCAUGCCCCUUAUGACCUGGGCUACACACGUGCUACAAUGGGCGGUACAAAGGGUCGCGAACCCGCAGGGGGAGCCAAUCCCAAAAAGCCGCUCUCAGUUCGGAUUGCAGGCUGCAACUCGCCUGCAUGAAGCCGGAAUCGCUAGUAAUCGCGGAUCAGCAUGCCGCGGUGAAUACGUUCCCGGGCCUU